UUGGAAUUAGAAACCCCAUACAUACCCCCCUUUCUCUCUCCUCUUUUCCUCUCUGCCUCCUAUUUUCAUUUCUAUUCAUCGACUUAGGGUUUUCUCACCUUCUCUCUUUCGUUGUAAAGCAAGUUAUCAGUUUCCUCAAAUUGAGCGUCAUAUAUUAGUAGCUUUUCGUGAACAACAACCAUCAGUUUUUUAUGGAAGACGCUGCUGCAGCGAUUUCAGAAGCCUCAGUUCGUCGUUCGAUCAAAAAGAAAUAGAGGUGCGAAGUUGAAUCUUAACCUAGUGAGCAAAACCCCUACUGAUCUUGACAUAGAAGAUUCUGAUGACGUUCUUGAGGAUGUUCGCCCGAAAUUUAAGCGCAAUCAUGUUGUUGGAGCUGCAACCGUUGUUAAAUUUGACCAUAUUAGCUUGAUUGAUGGGAUAUCAAGGAGGAAACUGCUAGCUCUUGGCAUUACUAUCCCUAUAAUUUUUCGGUUCACGGACACCCCUAUCUCAUACAUCGCGAAGGGAGUGCUGCAGCAUUAAAGAAAGCCAGACUAGGAACAAUAACAUGAGAAUACAGAUUAGAAGCUACAAAUCGAGGAAGACCAUUACUUUUUAAAGUUUAGCUAAUAGUUUUUUCUCACCUUUCUUUACUCCCUAAUUUAUAAAUAGUUGUACUUAGUAGAUUAUGGUUUGUAGAAUAAUUUUGUAUUCCCUAAAAUAUGGUUUGUAACUAAUUAUGUUCAUUUGGUUAUUUAUAUUUCCAAG